GAAAAAAAAGGGAUGCCCCUCCUCUAUGUGUCAUCCUUCCUUAUUUUUGUUUCUCUUUCUAUUUGAAUUUUAUUCAAACUAAGAUAGGGAUAAUGUCUAAAAGGAAAGGUGAUGGAUCAGAUUUUUGUGUGACAAAAAUUAAGAGAGAAGGGUGGGACACGUGCUAAUAAAAAUAGGGAGAAUUUCUUUCUUGCCGUGUAACAAUCCCAAUGCCUUCUUUCUUUCUUUCUUCACCCCAAUGCCUAAGAUCUGAUGGAGAUCAAAUCUAAUAGAGAAAAAAAGAGAGA
rnacentral:lncRNA from 1 species